GGGCCCGUGGCCUAGUAAGUUGAGCCUAGAGUGGACUAAGGCGCUGGCCUCCGGAGCCGGAGAUCCGGGGUUCGAAUCCCCGCGGGCCCG
rnacentral:tRNA from 1 species